rnacentral:lncRNA from 1 species
GUAGAGUUUAGUGGUAGUGUGGUAGAGUUCAGUGGUUGUGUGGUAGAGUUCAGUUGUAGAGUUCAGUGGUAGUGUGGUAGAGUUCAGUGGUAGUGGGGUAGAGUUUAGUGGUAGUGUGGUACAGUUCAGUGGUAGUAGGGUAGAGUUUAGUGGUAGUGUUUUACAGUACAGUGGUAUUUUGGUAGAGUUCAGUGGUAGUGUGGUAGAGUUUAGUUGUAGUGUGGUAGAGUUCAGUGGUAGUGUGAUAAAGUUUAGUGGUAGUGGGGUAGAGAUCAGUGGUAGUGUGGUAGAGUUCAGUGGUAGUGUGGUAGUGGAUAGAGUACAGUGGUAGUGGGGUAGAGAUCAGUGGUAGUGUGGUACAGUUCAGGGUUAGUGUGGUAGAGAUCAGCGGUAGUGUGGUAGAGUUCAGUGGUAGUGUGGUUGAUUUUAGUGGUACUGGGGUAGAGUUAAGUGGUAGUGGGUUAGUGUUUAGUGGUAGUGGGGUAGAUAUCAGUGGUAGUGUAGUAGAGAUCAGUGGUAGUGAGGUAGAGUUCAGUGGUAGUGUGGUAGAGAUCAGUGGUAGUGUGGUAGAGAUCAGUGGUAGUGUGGUAGAGAUCAGUGGUAGUGUGGUUGAUUUUAGUGGUACUGGGUUGAAUUCAGUGGUAGUGUGGUAGAGUUUAGUGGUAGUGGGGUAGAAUCAGUGGUAGUGUAGUAGAGUUCAGUGGUAGUGGGGUAGAGAUCUGUGGUAGAGUUUAGAGGUAUUUUGGUAGAGUUCAGUGAUGGUGUGUUUGAGUUCAAUUGUAGUGUGGUAGAGUUCAGUGGUAGUGUGGUGGAGUAUUUUGGUAGAGUUCAGUGAUGGUGUGUUUGAGUUCAAUUGUAGUGUGGUAGAGUUCAGUGGUAGUGUGGUGGAGUUCAGUGGUAGUGUGGUAGAGAUCAGUGGUAGUGUGGUUGAUUUUAGUGGUACUGGGUUGAAUUCAGUGGUAGUGUGGUAGAGUUUAG